rnacentral:rRNA from 1 species
UAACACAUGCAAGUCGAACGGAUUUUUAUCAUAGCUUGCUAUGAUAGAAAUUAGUGGCAGACGGGUGAGUAAUGCAUAGGAAUCUACCUAGUAGUAUGGGAUAGCCACUAGAAAUGGUGGGUAAUACUGUAUAAUCCCUGCGGGGGAAAGAUUUAUCGCUAUUAGAUGAGCCUAUGUUAGAUUAGCUAGUUGGUAGGGUAAAGGCCUACCAAGGCAGUGAUCUAUAGCUGGUCUGAGAGGAUGAUCAGCCACACUGGAACUGAGAUACGGUCCAGACUCCUACGGGAGGCAGCAGUGGGGAAUAUUGGACAAUGGGCGCAAGCCUGAUCCAGCUAUGCCGCGUGAGUGAGGAAGGCCUUAGGGUUGUAAAACUCUUUCAGUGGG